AUUGCUUCUCCCCCUUUUGGCUAAGAUCAAGUGUAGUAUGUUAUUAGUUUAAUAUGUGAUACGUCCUGUAACCUAGGAAUAUAUAUAUAUAUUAUAUAUAUAUA
rnacentral:snRNA from 2 species